UCUGGUACUCGUGAGUGCCGUCAGUGGUUACAUCGGGAACCUUGUCAUGUCUGAAAAGAUGCUUAACUGAAUUAGAAAGGGUACACGGAAACAUACCAAACUCGUGGACAGAACAGAGCGUCUCUAUCAAACAGCAAUUUCUACCUAGUUUCGUGAGGUCACGAUUCGGUCCCGGCAACUGGACGGCAACAACGAAAAGCUUCGCCUGACCUUCAUCGAAGUCUCGUGUCUCGACCACCGAACAAAGAAACGGCGACUAGCGAGCUAAUGUGGGGUGAACUGAACCGAGAACUGAAAGCGUCAAACAGAGCCGUCGCGACUGUUGCCGGAACGCGCGCCGUCUCCAUCAGCGUCGCCAACGUCAAGUCAGUCUACUCACUUGCAGCAAACCAACAGCGAAAAUUGCGGCCGCUGCUGCAUCAGGAUCAGAAGCGGGACAUUAGCCAUGGCUUUAGAUACAGCAGCGACAGCAGCGAAAGUAAUAGACGCGAGGCCUAAUUGCCCCCCUGUGGCGGUAGUUCUGUACUUCACGUACCGUAGCAGUCAACAACAGAGAACGUGGAUGGAUUAACGUUCGAGCAACGGCAGUUCUUCGCUCAUCAGCUUGAUCGUGUUGGCUGCCUCAAAGCUGUAGUCGGGCUUGGUUGUAGCCUUCGGUCUACGACGGCCGGCACUUCUGACAGUUCGCGCCGGCUCUGUUGAUGCCGAGGUCGAUGCCAUCACUACGUCCGCACUACUGACAUAGAAGCCGUCGAUUGCUAAAGACCUGGAGAGAGACCUCGUGACCGACUUCAUCUCCAAGUGGAUCCAGUCCACUAGGCGCAUAGCGUAUUGUAACAUGGUCGUAGGAGCCGUAAAUCGACGGGUGGACGAGGAGAUUGACUGUGAAGUUACCGAUAAUGUCGUUGUUGUUGCGGCUGUUGCUGUUGAUGCGACGCUGCGGACAAACUACUAAGUAUACAGAAAUUGGUGCGUACAUACCGAACGUAUCUGUUACUGGACGAAUACUUAUGCCGACAGGAACUCUUCGAUGUAUUGGUUGCUUUAUUUUGCGUUAGGCGUAGAACAUGUUGUAUAUGACUCGAAAAUAUUGCUUGGUGUAUUAGUUUCGCCUAUCUGUAGGCCUGCAUGGUUGCCGCGAUAGGGCAAAGUGAAAGCGAUUUGGUCGUUUACCGUUAUUAUUAUAGAAAGUAACGUCGAUGAUACGCCCAUACGAUGCGAUCAGGUAUACCAUAAGAGAAUGUAUUGUCAGAAAGCGGGUACUUGAAGAUGGCCUAGAAUCAUACUUAUAGAACUAAAACAGCGCAUAAGGAUCCAAGAGUCAAAUCCGAAGGCCUGUGCUGUACCCCCCCCCCCCCUUAUGCAGACGAUUUUCGUGCGAGGAAAAAUUGACGUAGUGUUACUUAGUAGUAAUGAUUGUAUUACUUUGACUCGUUCUAAUCCGUUCGACCACCACUGUUCUCCAGCACCUUCCUGUUCGUGCUUUUACUCUUUGUCGAUUUAUUUAUAUCGUUUUCCGGUAAAAGCAUCGCAGCUCAAUAAUUCGAAUUACACAACAUUUUGUUCGGCCCCCCAUUAUUUUACUCAUAAACGAAGACCGUUUCCUUUUCUACUGCCAUACCAUUCCCGGCCUCGAUAAAGUCAUUUGGUCUGGUGAAUUCGGCCUACAUUUACAACGCCGCUUACCAGACCUUCGGCGAUGACUCGAUCCUUAAUUCCUUAGUAGUUUUCACCCCAUCUAUUACAGUUGCUAUGAAGGUAUUCCCUAAAGCGAAGCGAGCUUUGCGAAGCGGAAAAACAUUAUCGAGAGUGCAACGAAUGCGGAAGCGGGAACUGUAAAAUGUGCAAUAACGACUGGCUUAAUUGUAUCGUCAUCACCCAUCUUCCCUUAUCAAUCCCGCUUACUUCACUCAGUGAUUAUGCUAUGUGGAUUCCCAUGAAUUCGGCGCGUUCACGUUCAAUAUCUGCGACUUGUAUCACAUUCUGGACCUCUAACCAGUAGUAUGUAUUAUGGAAUCUAAUAAAAUGAAGGUUCCAAUCAGGACACCGCAAAAUUUUUCUUCAUGUUAUUCUAAUCUUUCUUUGGCCUGUGGCUGAGCGUCGAUGAAGUGCGAGGAACUCGGCCAAGGUUAUGCACCAAUUACUAAAUUGAAUGGAAGUCGCGGACCAACAGAGAAUUUUUUUCUAGUAGCUGUAGUCGAGUGGUUAUGCAGGGCUUUAAUGGUGCGAAAUAAACAGAGCAACCAACAGGAAGGAGGGCGGAUAGAAGAAAUAGUUUGAAUCCAGCUCGUCUUUCCUUAUGAAUUACGCAACCAGCGGGAAAAUUA